AUCAUUUGCAAUGCGCGCAAGCGUGACAAUGCGAACCAAAGUGCUUUUCUUUUUUUGAAAAGCUUUUCUUUACUUUAAAAAGGUAGAGGAAUAAGGACUGGGUAAGACCGGUGCCAGCCGCCGCGGUAAUCCCGGCAGUUCUAGUCGCAUCCACUAUUAUUGGGUCUAAAACAUCCGUAGCUUGUAAUUUAAGUCUCUUGUGAAAUCCUACGUCUCAAGCGUAGGGCUUGCGGGAGAUACUGAAUUGCUAGAGAUCGGUAGACGUAAGAAGUACAUUGGAGGUAGUGGUAAAAUACGUUAAUCUUCGAUGGACUAACAAUGAGCGAAGGCAUCUUACGAGGACGAAUCUGACAGUGAGGGAUGAAGGCCAGGGGCGCAAAACGGAUUAGAUACCCGUGUAGUCCUGGCAGUAAACACUGCUCACUAAACAUCGGGCCCUCUUCGGGAGGAUUCGGUGCUGAAGCGAAGGCGAAGAGUGAGCUACCUGGGAAGUAUAGUCGCAAGAUCGAAACUUAAAGGAAUUGGCGGGGAGACAUACAACGAGUGACGCGUGCGGUUCAAUUAGAUUCUACACCGUGAACCUCACCAGGAGCGACAGCAGAAUGAAGGUCAGUCUAAAGGGCUUACCUGACACGCUGAGCGGAGAUGCAUGGCCGACGUCAGCCUGUGCUGUGAAGUGACCGGUUAAAUCCGGUAACAGGCGAGACCCGCGUCCAUAAUUACUACAGAAAUGAGUACAUUAUGGAGACUGCUGUGGUAACACAGAGGAAGGUGCGGGCUACGUUAGGUGAGUACGUCCCUAAUCCCCUGGGCUACACGCGCGCGGCAAUGGUAAGUUCAAUGAGAUGCAACUCCGAGAGGAGAAGCUAAUCCCCCAACACUUAUCUCAGUCCAGAUUGUGGGUUGCAACCCACCCACAUGACGUUGGAAUUCGUAGUAAUCGGAUGUUAGCACCGUCCGGUGAAUAAGUCCCUG
rnacentral:rRNA from 1 species